GUUUUGGUGGUUCAGGGGUAGAAUUCUCGCCUUCCAUGCAGGAGGCCUGGGUUCAAUUCCUGGCCAGUGCA
rnacentral:tRNA from 1 species